rnacentral:rRNA from 1 species
ACACAUGCAAGUCGAGCGGAAACGAUCCUAGCUUGCUAGGAGGCGUCGAGCGGCGGACGGGUGAGUAAUGCAUAGGAAUCUGCCCGGUAGUGGGGGAUAACCUGAGGAAACUCAGGCUAAUACCGCAUACGUCCUACGGGAGAAAGCAGGGGCUCUUCGGACCUUGCGCUAUCGGAUGAGCUUAUGUCGGAUUAGCUGGUUGGUGAGGUAACGGCUCACCAAGGCGACGAUCCGUAGCUGGUCUGAGAGGAUGAUCAGCCACAUCGGGACUGAGACACGGCCCGAACUCCUACGGGAGGCAGCAGUGGGGAAUAUUGGACAAUGGGGGCAACCCUGAUCCAGCCAUGCCGCGUGUGUGAAGAAGGCCCUCGGGUUGUAAAGCACUUUCAGUGAGGAAGAAGGCUUGUCGGUUAAUACCCGGCAAGAAAGACAUCACUCACAGAAGAAGCACCGGCUAACUCCGUGCCAGCAGCCGCGGUAAUACGGAGGGUGCGAGCGUUAAUCGGAAUUACUGGGCGUAAAGCGUGCGUAGGCGGCUUGAUAAGCCGGUUGUGAAAGCCCCGGGCUCAACCUGGGAACGGCAUCCGGAACUGUCAGGCUAGAGUGCAGGAGAGGAAGGUAGAAUUCCCGGUGUAGCGGUGAAAUGCGUAGAGAUCGGGAGGAAUACCAGUGGCGAAGGCGGCCUUCUGGACUGACACUGACGCUGAGGUACGAAAGCGUGGGUAGCAAACAGGAUUAGAUACCCUGGUAGUCCACGCCGUAAACGAUGUCGACUAGCCGUUGGGGUCCUCGAGACCUUUGUGGCGCAGUUAACGCACUAAGUCGACCGCCUGGGGAGUACGGCCGCAAGGUUAAAACUCAAAUGAAUUGACGGGGGGCCCGCACAAGCGGUGGAGCAUGUGGUUUAAUUCGAUGCAACGCGAAGAACCUUACCUACCCUUGACAUCGUGCGAACUUUCCAGAGAUGGAUUGGUGCCUUCGGGAACGCACAGACAGGUGCUGCAGGCCUGUCGUCAGCUCGUG